ensembl:lncRNA
UACAGAGUCAAUGUGGAGGCUAUAUACAGGUGGUACUGGUACAGAGUCAAUGUGGAGGUUAUAUACAGGGGUACUGGUACAGAGUCAAUGUGGAGGUUAUAUACAGGGGGUACUGGUACAGAGUCAAUGUGGAGGUUAUAUACAGGGGGUACCGGUACAGAGGCAAUGUGGAGGCUAUAUACAGGGGGUACCGGUACAGAGUCAAUGUGGAGGUUAUAUACAGGGGGUACAGGUACAGAGUCAAUGUGGAGGCUAUAUACAGGGGGUACCGGUACAGAGUCAAUGUGGAGGUUAUAUACAGGGGGUACCAGUACAGAGUCAAUGUGGAGGUUAUAUACAGGGGGUACCAGUACAGAGUCAAUGUGGAGGCUAUAUACAGGGGGUACCAGUACAGAGUCAAUGUGGAGGUUAUAUACAGGGGGUACCGGUACAGAGUCAAUGUGGAGGUUAUAUACAGGGGGUACCGGUACAGAGUCAAUGUGGAGGCUAUAUACAGGGGGGUACCAGUACAGAGUCAAUGUGGAG